UUCUAAUGCAUUGAGAUCACGUUGAUCUAUCUUUCUAAUGCAUUGGAUCAACGUGAUCUCAAUGCAUUAGAA
rnacentral:pre_miRNA from 1 species